rnacentral:rRNA from 1 species
GAGUUUGAUCAUGGCUCAGGAUGAACGCUGGCGGCGUGCUUAACACAUGCAAGUCGAACGAACCUUCGGGUUAGUGGCGGACGGGUGAGUAACGCGUGAGAAUCUGCCCUCAGGAGGGGGAUAACGGCUGGAAACGGCCGCUAAUACCCCAUAUGCCGCGAGGUGAAAUGAAUUUCGCCUGAGGAUGAGCUCGCGUCUGAUUAGCUAGUUGGUGUAGGUAAUGGCUCACCAAGGCAUCGACCAGUAGCUGGUCUGAGAGGAUGAUCAGCCACACUGGGACUGAGACACGGCCCAGACUCCUACGGGAGGCAGCAGUGGGGAAUUUUCCGCAAUGGGCGCAAGCCUGACGGAGCAACGCCGCGUGAGGGAUGAAGGCCUUUGGGCUGUAAACCUCUUUUAUCAAGGAAGAAGAUCUGACGGUACUUGAUGAAUAAGCCACGGCUAAUUCCGUGCCAGCAGCCGCGGUAAUACGGGAGUGGCAAGCGUUAUCCGGAAUUAUUGGGCGUAAAGCGUCCGCAGGCGGCCCUUCAAGUCUGCUGUUAAAACGUGGAGCUUAACUCCAUCAUGGCAGUGGAAACUGUUGGGCUUGAGUGUGGUAGGGGCAGAGGGAAUUCCCGGUGUAGCGGUGAAAUGCGUAGAUAUCGGGAAGAACACCAGUGGCGAAGGCGCUCUGCUGGGCCAUCACUGACGCUCAUGGACGAAAGCCAGGGGAGCGAAAGGGAUUAGAUACCCCUGUAGUCCUGGCCGUAAACGAUGAACACUAGGUGUCGGGGGAAUCGACCCCUUCGGUGUCGUAGCCAACGCGUUAAGUGUUCCGCCUGGGGAGUACGCACGCAAGUGUGAAACUCAAAGGAAUUGACGGGGGCCCGCACAAGCGGUGGAGUAUGUGGUUUAAUUCGAUGCAACGCGAAGAACCUUACCAGGGUUUGACAUCCUGCGAAUCUCUUGGAAACGAGAGAGUGCCUUCGGGAGCGCAGUGACAGGUGGUGCAUGGCUGUCGUCAGCUCGUGUCGUGAGAUGUUGGGUUAAGUCCCGCAACGAGCGCAACCCACGUCUUUAGUUGCCAGCAUUUAGUUGGGCACUCUAGAGAGACCGCCGGUGAUAAACCGGAGGAAGGUGUGGAUGACGUCAAGUCAUCAUGCCCCUUACAUCCUGGGCUACACACGUACUACAAUGCUACGGACAAAGGGCAGCAAGUUCGCGAGGACAAGCAAAUCCCAUAAACCGUGGCUCAGUUCAGAUCGUAGGCUGCAACUCGCCUACGUGAAGUAGGAAUCGCUAGUAAUCGCAGGUCGGCAUACUGCGGUGAAUACGUUCCCGGGCCUUGUACACACCGCCCGUCACACCAUGGAAGUUGGCCACGCCCGAAGCCGUUACUCCAACCCUUGUGGAGGAGGACGUCGAAGGUGGGGCUGAUGACUGGGGUGAAGUCGUAACAAGGUAACC